UGAAGACACCAAUCUGGAGCAUGCAACUCGAUUCAUCACUCCACAUACAACUUCCCAUAUUCUGCCAAAAACUUCAUUCUGUCUUCUGUUUUUAAUGCUUUUUAAGGAGUGCAUUUGCUUAAAUUUUGCUUAUUUCCUGACCAAUAAUUUGUGGUUAAGACAACUAAAAGCUUAGCGUUUAGCCAUUUUGGGCAAGUUUUACUACAGUUCUUUAAGCAACACUGUAAAACUUUACUGUAAAUUUACAGGACAUUUCUAACAGUAUUAUACUGUAUUUUCAUAAAAGAGUAACAUGCUGUAUAUUUUACAGAAUGUCUGUAAAUAUACAGUAGUUUUCUGUUUUCAGCCCGUUUCACUCGUAAUACAGUAUAAUACUGUAAAAGCAUUGCAUUAUGGGAUUGAUUUUUUUUUACCGCGCUCAUUUCAAAUUUCUAGGCCAGGCAUACAUUUUAGCUUCUCUCCCAACGCUUUUAGUGUUUCACGUCGACUCUUCAGGGUUUAAUGUUAUCAUUAAAUGAUAUUUGAGUGAAUAUAGUGUGCAGUUUUAAGCUUCUGAAGCGUCAGUUUGCCUGAGACGCGGGAUGACUGGACGGCGCUGCUGAGAAGACGGAGAUGUUAUUUUCCGCCUGAUUAAUCAAAACGUUUGCCUGUGUCGAGAAGACAGAUAAACGAUUGUUCGGCUGAGAAUACGGCUCAAUCAUCUGAUGUGCUCCAUUGUUUACGCUCUUUGACAUAUACCCUAAACAUGGCUCAAGAACCAGGAAGGGGGGAAAUGACCUUCUGUGAAAUAUGGUUAUGUUAAUGCACUUUGACAUCAACCAUGAACACGGCUCAAGAAACAAGAAGGGAAAGUGACUUCCAAGACUGGCAACACUGUGCAAAAAAGGAGCAGUACUGAAAAACUUGUAGGCCUACUAUUUGUUUUUACUCCACAUUUGAAAAAAUGUUAAAUGUAAAUAAGAUUGCUGUAUUGUUCAUUGAUAACUGCUGAGUGCAUUUAAAAUGUUGACCUUUCAACAUUGCAAUUUUCUGCUUUUUUCCAUAAAAAAAAUAAUAAAAGUUUUAAAACUCAA